GAUGCAGGCUUGAUAAUCUCACUCCACAGGUGUGCAACCGUUUUUCGGGCAUGGAGGAAACAACGUCAUACAAAUGGACUGUGGUAAAAACCAAGGCACUUAUUGCUUUAAGAAUGGAAAAGGAUGACCUGUUCUGCAAAAAACGCAAUGCUGCCAAAGAAGCAUGGGAGUCAAUCAUUAAGGAACUGGACCUUGGGCAACAUGUGUCUCACAAACAGGCCUCCAAGAAAUGGGAGAACCUAAAAAAGAAAUACAAGGUAAAUGGUGUAUUGUUAUUGUAAAACAUGUUUGUUUUUGAAAAAGCUGAACAAAGAUUUCUAACAUGCAUUUGUUUGCAAUA